AAGUCGUAACAAGGUUUCCGUAGGUGAACCUGCGGAAGGAUCAUUAUCCUUUAGCUUGUGCGAGUGUUCUCAAUGCACUUGUACUCGAGCUCAUAACGCUCUUAUUGCGCGGCAGCCGCUCUCCGGCGACUGCUAAACAACCAAAUCCACGGUAGGCUCGUAGGCUACUGUGGUCAGGUACCUAUCAGCUGAAGCGACUCCUCGGAGUCGUGUUGGCGUAAAGAUUACUCCGCUGCGUCGGCGAGUAACGCCUGUUUAGCUUACAAGUUUUCUCACCAUUUAAAUUGCAUUUUAUGAGUUGUGAUUGCGUAAAUUCUAUGCUCAACAUAGAUGAUUUAACACAAAAACAACCCUAUGCGGUGGAUCACUUGGCUC
rnacentral:misc_RNA from 1 species